ACGGAAGGCAGCAGUGGGGAAUAUUGGGCAAUGGGCGAAAGCCUGACCCAGCAACGCCGCGUGAAGGAAGAAGGUCUUCGGAUUGUAAACUUCUUUUAUGAGGGACGAAGGACGUGACGGUACCUCAUGAAUAAGCAACGGCUAAUUACGUGCCAGCAGCCGCGGUAACACGUAAGUUGCGAGCGUUGUUCGGAAUUAUUGGGCGUAAAGGGCAUGUAGGCGGUUUUGCAAGCUUGGUGUGAAAUCCCGGAGCUUAACUCCGGAAUUGCGUUGAGAACUGCAUAACUAGAGUCACUGAGGGGCAAUCAGAAUUCCAGGUGUAGGGGUGAAAUCUGUAGAUAUCUGGAAGAAUACCAAUGGCGAAGGCAGGUUACCAGCAGAUGACUGACGCUGAGGUGCGAAGGUGCGGGGAGCAAACAGGAUUAGAUACCCUGGUA
rnacentral:rRNA from 1 species